GAGAGAGAGAGAGAGAGAGAGAGACAGGGAGAGAGAGACAGGCUGAGAGAGAUAGAGACAGGCUGAGAGAGAGAGACAGGCUGAGAGAGCUAGAGAGGCUGAGAGAGAGAGACAGGCUGAGAGAGAGAGGCUGAGAGAGAGAGAGAGGCUGAGAGAGAGAGAGAGAGACAGGCUGAGAGAGAGUGUGUGUCUGUGUGUUUCUCUGUGUUUGUGUGUCUCAGUGUAUAGGCCUAGUGUUAACCCAGCUCAGUGUAUAGGCCUAGUGUUAACCCAGCUCAGUGUAUAAAAGCUGUGUGAGUUUUCCACUUUGUGCCAUAGGACGAUUUGCCCUGGAGAGCUAUGGGCCAGUCAAAACCCAGCGUCCUGGAGCCCUCUCUAGAAUGCUGAACCAAUAGCGGAGCACCUCAGCCUCUGUUCCACCAACCUCAAAGCCCGCCCACUGGAGGUGCACCGUGGCAACCAGGUGAUG
ensembl:lncRNA